rnacentral:rRNA from 1 species
GCGUGAGCAACCUGCCUUUCAGAGGGGGAGUAACGUCUUGAAAAGGACGCUAAUACCGCAUGAUAUUAUGGAGCCACAUGGCUCUAUAAUCAAAGGAGCAAUCCGCUGAAAGAUGGGCUCGCGUCCGAUUAGGUAGUUGGCGGGAUAACAGCCCACCAAGCCGACGAUCGGUAGCCGGACUGAGAGGUUGAACGGCCACAUUGGGGACUGAGACACGGCCCAGACUCCUACGGGAGGCAGCAUG